AAAUGUUUACAUGAUUGUGGGUGUAAUGUUGUUAACUCGCUGAUGUCGUUUUUGAGAAGACAGUAGUUUUGCAUUUGAUAAAUACCACCUAAUGACCAUGACGGCUACACGGCAGAUCUUUAUUGUGAUGGCUACACUGAAUGAUCACAUGGAGAUGCCGGUACAUUAUUUGUUUUACCCUGGUUAUAUUGAAAUGUUCUGCUUUGUCCAUUCCAAGGUUGUGGUGUUUUCCAUAGCUGUUCCUUGCUCCUGUAUCACAACAUAUCAAGGCUGCCAAGUAAAUGAAGAAUGAAUCACCGCACACUGGUCAACAGCAGACAGGGUCCUUCCACAACCACAUACUUAUGCCAGUAAAAGCUACAGCUUUUCUCCUCCGAUCCAAGAAGCCUGGACUGCAGUCACCAUCUCAACACACCAACCAAGAGAAAGGCGGAUGGCUCAAUUCAAUAUGGAAAAUUGCACAAUAAAAGUUCCAGGACAUGAAGGCUGCAUACUGUGAACGUCAACCUUCAGGGCACCGUCCUGCGCAGAAGACUUUCUACCCUAAGAGGGAUGGCUGACCGCAGACACUCACAACCAGCACAGACGCCUCCAACCUCAGACUAGGCC